rfam:Oryza glaberrima chromosome 4 Oglab04_0327_5, whole genome shotgun sequence.
CAGAAGAUAAUACUCAUCCCAAAAUAUUCAAAGUUUAACUGUUCGUCUUAUUUAAAUUUUUUUAUGAUUAGUAUUUUUAUUUUUAUUAGAUAAUAAAACAUGAAAAGUACUCUAUGUGUGACUACUUUUUUUUAUUUUUUUCAUAAUUUUUUUAAAUAAAACAGACGAUCAAACGUUAGGCACGAAUAUUUACGACUGCACUUAUU